rnacentral:rRNA from 1 species
UACGUAGGCAGCGAGCGUUGUUCGGAAUUACUGGGCGUAAAGAGUGUGUAGGCGGUGCUCUAAGUUCGGUGUGAAAUCUCCUGGCUCAACUGGGAGGGUGCGCCGGAAACUGGAGUGCUUGAGCGUGGGAGAGGAAAGCGGAAUUCCUGGUGUAGCGGUGAAAUGCGAAGAUAUCAGGAGGAACACCUGUGGUGUAGACGGCUUUCUGGACCAUAGCUGACGCUGAGACACGAAAGCGUGGGUAGCAAACAGG